GACGAACGCUGGCGGCGUGCUUAACACAUGCAAGUCGUACGGUAAGGCCCUUUCGGGGGUACACGAGUGGCGAACGGGGGAGUAACACGUGAGUAACCUGCCCACAACUUUGGGAUAACGCUAGGAAACUGGUGCUAAUACUGGAUAUGUGCUCCUGCUGCAUGGUGGGGGUUGGAAAGCUCCGGCGGUUGUGGAUGGACUCGCGGCCUAUCAGCUUGUUGGUGGGGUAGUGGCCUACCAAGGCGGCGACGGGUAGCCGGCCUGAGAGGGUGACCGGCCACAUUGGGACUGAGAUACGGCCCAGACUCCUACGGGAGGCAGCAGUGGGGAAUAUUGCACAAUGGGCGCAAGCCUGAUGCAGCAACGCCGCGUGCGGGAUGACGGCCUUCGGGUUGUAAACCGCUUUCAGCAGGGACGAAGCUUUUUGUGACGGUACCUGCAGAAGAAGCACCGGCUAACUACGUG
rnacentral:rRNA from 1 species